rnacentral:lncRNA from 1 species
CAUCUGAUUUUUACUUUAACUAAAAAAUUCUUAUGUCUGGCUUGUUAAAGUUAGCUUUCUAUUGUAGACAAUGUAUAAAAAUCUAGAAAGAGAUAAAUCUCAACUUGAAGAUGAAAUACUACUUUUAGAGAAGAAACUAGAAGAAGAGAGAGCUAAGCAUUAUGAACAAGAUGAAUUGGCAAAAACUAACAUCAGUAUAUUUCAAAUGAAUGAAAAACACCUUAAGGAAGUAAUACAAGAUACCCUGAAUGAAAAUUAUCAACUUGAGGAAAGCCUGAAGGAGCUUUUAGAGGAAUUUGAAAAAACGAAAGAACAAACUGACGAACUGAAUAAUCAGAAAGCAAUAUGUGGAAGAUCCAAAGUACAGGCAGAGCAAGUCCUAAAUGAAAAAGAAAAUGAGAUCAAGUCUCUGAUGGAGAGCCUGAUGAAGACCAAAGUUUGGACUUGCUUGUUUGGAGACUAUAUAACAGAUGAUGAUGGGCCAGUAUCCUCAAAAUUGGAACUGAGAAAGAAUGAAACCCAAGGUGACCCAGUGAACUCAACUCUGCCCAACUCUGUUCCUGCUGAAUCAGAGGGAGCUGGCCCUGGCUCCAUCCCUUCACCGGUUCCCCAGGAUAGAGACCCCAGAGGCCCUCCCAUUGCAGAAGAUCCAAGAAGUCCCGUUAUGAGUAGGCCACCCCUAUCCCCACCGCCUACUCUGGGAAACAUCCAUGCUGGUCCUCCAGAUUCUGUUACAUCAAGGGACUUUGCUGGCCCACCUUUCCCGCCGUACCCAGGUAGGCUUUUUUUUUUUUUUUUUAUAAGUCCAAGUAUGUGUCAAUAUUCAUCUGUGCGUUUCUUA